AUAUAAUAUUUAUAUAUAAAUAUGUAUAAAUUAUAUAUACAUAAUACAUUUUGUACAAAAUCGUAUUGUAACACCGUAAAUAAUAUUGUAUCGUGUAAAAGAGCGUGUACCAUUUUGUUUGUGCACAUAUUAUAUACGUAAUUAUAAUAGAAUAUAUAUUAUUAUUAUUAUAGAACUAUGUUAUACAAGCGUUGUCGUUGUCGUUGUGUAUCGAGAAAAAAAAGUUUAUAACAAAUCGUCGUUAUCGUUACGUGAACGGUGUAAAUAAUAUCGUGUUGAAUUGAAUUGAAUUUUUUUUUUUUUUUUUUAAAAAUAACGUUUCUCUCGAACCGAAAGGCCGUACGCCGGGCGUACGGCGGCGGCCGGAUAAAUGUCGAAAACCGACGUGACGCAUACCUAGCGCAGUGGCGGCGUGAACGGCGUGUGUCCUACGGGGUAUUUACGGCCGAAUUCGAUAUUAGACUCGUAUUAUGCACGGCGGCACUCUAUCGCCAGUCGCGUUCACGAAAAGGACACGUGAAACCUCGAGUAACGACCUCAGAUACGGCUCCUGAUUGUCCUGAGCUUUGCGGGUUCGCGCGCGAGACCGCUCCGCAGGAAGAAAACAAUUUCGCGCCGCCACUGGAAAUCGGCGCGUGAUUGUGUUAUACGGUGUGUGUUUGUGUGCAUGCGUGUAAGACGAGCGGCGUGUGUGCGAGCGGGUAUAAUAUAAUGUCGAAAAAUUUUUAUUUUUGUUUUAUUUUUUGAAGUGUGUGUGUGUGUUUUAAGUUUUCGUAAAAAAAACAAGAAAAAAAUUCCUUAGAAAUCGGUUUGGUUUAUUUUGUACCUAAUACGCCUCCCCGGACAUCCCGUGAUGACGAUGCGCGAUACGAAUGCGCUCCGAACGGUCGUGUCUUAAAAUUAAUAUCGCGACAACGACGUUACUAUCGUUGUCUCGUAAUAUUGUUUUCGGAGAUCCAGUCGCGCGCGUCUUUUGCGGACCGGACGUACUGCGUAACAACAUGGCGCAAAUCGUAGUGUUUUUUUUUUCUCUUUUGUUAAUUCGCAUUAAACAUAAUUUUCCUGUUGUAUUCGGAAACGGAUAUUGAAAAAAAAAAAAAAAAAAAAAAAAAACAAAAGAAUGGACAGCGUCAACAGGGAGCAGGGAGGAUGGAGAGGGGGCCGGGCGGAGAAGUCUCCGGUACUAUACCUAAUAACAAUGCGCAGUAAUCAUUACCGUAUCAUUUACGGUAAUAUAUGUAUACGUAUUUAAAUCGUCUACGCGUAUAUUAAAUCGUGAUAAUAAUUAUAAUAAUAAUAAUAAUAAUAAUAUGUUAUAGAGUAUAUAGUUUAAUAAUCGUAAUAAUGUCGAUAAGUAAUAUAUAAUUAUAAUAGUGUAUAAUAAUAGUAAAAUGUUUCUAAAAUCGUAUAUUAUAUUGUUCUAUGUAUGUAUGUAUGUAUAAUCUAUAUGUAUAACAUUAUAUUAUUAUAAUGACAAUAGUAAAUAAUAUUUUCGGACACUAUGAGUACGGGACAAUAUUUAAAAUAUCUAAAAAGACAAAAAAAAAAAAAAUAAUAAUGUAUGUAUAACAAUAUAGGUGCCUAAUAAUUAUUGUAACGAUUGAAAUGUUCUUUGGCGUUUCAUAAGCGUCGAGUUAAACAAACGCGUAUAUCAUUUUAGCCGGCGUAUAAUGUAUAGAAUAUGAUGUAGGCACGAAUAUUUUAUACAUUUUUUUUUUUUUUUUUUUCCCCGACAUUCAAAUAAGUGUCCCGUCUUAUAAGUUUUUUUUUUUUUCAUCCGUCUUAUACCUAAUGUAAUAAUAUAUUAUUUAUUCUAAAUCGAAAUAUAAUAUUAUGUAUUUUAUGUUUUCAAAAAUUCUACAAAAAUUCUAAUAUUCUAAUAAUAAUAAUAAUAAUAAUAAUAAAAGACGUAGUCGUCGUUCUUGGCCGUCAAUCGACGAACUACUAUCAUCGGUUUCGACGCCUUGCAGCCGUUCGCGAUAGAUACAAAAUUAUUACAACAAUAUUAUCGUUACUUAACAAUAAUAAUUUUACACGUAUAUUCAGUAGAAAGACCAAAAAAAAAAAAAAAAAAAAAAAUAACAAAUACAAUAGUAAACAUUAUAAUGUAAUAAUAGUAAUAAUAUAAUUGAAUACAAAUCAAGUUAUACAAAUACAGUCGAAUAGAUAAUAAUAUAACGAUAUAUUAUUAUUGCUUCGGAGUGAAAUGCUAUUUCAGAGGAGGGGUUUUGUUUUUAUUUUUAAUUUUUUAUAUACGGAUUUAAAAAAUUCGCGAUACGGGGAAAAAAAAAUUACAUUUUUACCGCGGGAUUCCUUGCUCGUUCGUCUUAUUAUUUAUUUAUUUCUUAAUUGUUUCCACACCGAAAUCACAUCAGCGUAUUAAAAUACUUUUUUUUUUUGAAAAAAUUUACGGCAUUAUAAACAUAGUUAUAAUAAUAUAUAUAUUUAUCAUAUUAUAUUACAAUAUAAUGUAUAUAGUAUUUUAUUCGCGUGGUAUUGUGUUUUUUACACGCCAUCGGUAUGGUUUUUGAACGUUUUUAUUUCUUUUAUUUUUUUAUUUUCGGUACCGCAAGUAUAAUCAUAUAUUAUGUAUAUAUAAAAUUUAUAUUAUAUUUAUAAAAAAAAAAAAAAAUUAGUUAAUUAAAAAUAAGUGUACACUACGCUAAUUAUUGCCAUAAUAAAUCGCUAAAACAUAAAUUUUUUUUUUAUGUUUCAUGUUUAGCAUUGAUAUGGUAUUGAAUUGCCACUGUUACUAGACAGAGAUUAUUAUAAUUUAAUCCCGUCAAUAUUAUUAUCAAGUUUCACAUUUAUUCGUUGUUUUUGGUUUUUUUUUUUUUUUUUUUUUUUUUUUUUUUAUGCACAAAAACGAUAAUAUUAUAAUAUUAUUUGUCUCGAGAGACUAUCUAAUAUAUGAUAAUACGCGUUUGCGAGUAUUCCCCCGAUCUAUAACAAUAACUACGCUCUCCAUACUCUCCCAUACUCCACACGCAACACACAACCAAUAUAACCCGAGCUAUAUUAUAAUACCUAAAUGUUCCGUAACACGUAUAGAACGAGAAAAUAUUAUAACAGAUUCAAUAUUCGAUAAACGUACUCCUAUUAUACGUAUAACAGUAUUACACAUACAAACUUUCGCGCCAUAACCCGUAAUAACCCGUAGAAAAGUACAAUAUAAACGGACUCGUUUUUUGUUUUGUUUUUCAAACUCCUUAUAAUUUAUAUUUACAUUNAAAAAAAAAAAAAAAUUGAGCUUUUCUCUUUCGUAUUACAUUUUUUUUUUUUUUUUUUUAUCCCCGUUUUCGUUUUAUGGUGUAUGCAUAUAAUAAGAAUGACGUUAUUGUUAUCUCAACGUCAAAUACGUGUGCACGGUAUUAUAUUAAAUCAUAUUAUGCAAUAUAAUAGUAAAGUUGACAAAACGAUCAUGGUACACGAUUAAUAAAAACGGGAAUUAUAUUAUUAUCGAUUAAUGUAUAAUACUCAAUAAACGAUAAGUCAAUUAUUUAAUUAAUAUUAUUGUUAAUAUUUAGUUAAUUUCAUGAAGUUUAUACGGCAAAACGAAACGAAAUGAUAAUAAUAAUAAUAACAACGAUUUUAGGUGACGACGGCCGCGGGAAACAUGUCCGCGUGAAAACGAUAACGUCCACGUUACUAAACGGAAAUCGUGGAAAAAAAAAAUGGACGUUUAACCGGACGAAUCGAAAUGAACGUUUUUUCGCGAGAAGCGUUGACUCGUUUUCCUCGGGACAUGCCUAUGACUGACUUAUCCGCUGUAGCUGCACUCUUUUUUUUUUUUUUUUUUUUUUUUUUUUUUUUUGUUUUUUUUUUUUUCGGUCAUGUUUUUUUUCCACUGACCGUUAUCGGUACGCGCGGACGUUUUUUUCCACGGCCAUUUUCGCGAUUCGGCCGUUAUCACCGUGAUGAUCAAGCGACGCGUGACACGAGCGUAAUAUCGUCAGAAUAUAAUACGAUUUGUUGUUAUGUUGUUUGCGUUUCGCGUCACGGACAGAAGAAACCAAGACACGGAGUGAGUGGACAAAAAAAAAAACGGUAAAAGAAAGUGGUGUUAUAAUAAUAUUUAUAACGCGUACGCGUUCGUUCAGCUCUUCGACAACGCAUUGGUCGACCGACACAGGUAUUAAUCUCUUCUUGAAUCGAUUUUUGUUUUUGUUAUUUUUUUUUUUUUUUUCUGUUUUUCCGUCGCUUUUUUUCAACACGUCAUAUCGUUAUAAUAUUAUUAUCGUUUAUUCGUCUCGCCGCGCGUAACGUAUUAUGAAUAGUCGUAAUAAUAAUAUAGUAAAACGAAUAUAUUAUUAUCACAAUAAAAAUAUCGUGUCAUUAUGUAUAUCAAUAUGCAUACAUAAUUAAAAAUAAUAAUACAUUAUGAGGAGAGAAAAAAUUAAAUAGAAAUUAUAAUAAUAACGAAACAGUAUUAAUUUGUAUAAUAUAUAAUAAUAAUAAUAAUAAUAAUAGUAUCACUCAAUAGUGCGUGUACAAUUAAUAAUAUUAUUGUAAUAAUAAUAAUAAUAAUAUUUUUAUUAUUUACUUAUUUAUUUAUUUAUUUAUUUAUUUUUUUUUUUAUUGAUUAAUCAAUUAAAUAAUGUUCAAAAGCGAUCGUAUUUUAAUAUAAUAAUAUAGAGCGAACAAGAGCGAUUAUUUAUAAUAAUUAAUAUAAUAAUAAUUUUAAUUAAUAAUGUAUAAUGUAAUAAUUAUAAUAAAUAAUGAACCACAAUAAUAUAAUGCUACAAACGUGUGUUGUUUACUACCUACAAUACCUCUACUAGUAAUAUAAUAAUAAUUAUUUAAAUUUUUUUUUUUUUUUUUUUCUAAAUUUAAAAAAAUUAAUUAAUUUUUUUUUUUUUUUUUUUUUUUGUAUGUGUGUGUAUUUUUAUAAUAUUAUUAUAGCUAUCGUUGAAUUAUUAUAUUGGUAUAAUUUUUUUUUUUUUUCUACUAUAGCGACAAAAUAUUACGUAAUAAAUGUAAUAAUAUUUUAAUAAUAAUUAUUAAUUAGGUAUAAUAUGCGUUAUGUUUAAAAAUCGAAUUGUCUUCUCUACGAUUGUAGAUUAUAAUAUAAUAAUAAUAAUAAUAAUAAUAAUAUUUCGUUUAAUUUAAAUGAAUAAUUAAAUCUAGGUAUACGUAAUUAAGAUUAUUAUAAUGAAAAAAAAAUAUGUACACGUAUAAUAUCAUUAUAAGAAUAAUAUUAUAUCGUUCGAAUGACGCGCGUAUUAUCGAUUGACAAUAAUAACGAUUGUACCUGAAUAUAAUAUACUCAUAAUAAGUACACUAUCAUUUUAGUUGUUUUUUUUUUUUUUUUUAUCAAGCGAUUAUUUCAUAACUAAUCGCGUUAAUUAAUAAUACUAUGAUUUUCAUACCCCGUACUCUACACAAACGUAUUAUAAUGAUGGGUUUUUUUUUUUUUUAAUUUUUUAAAAAAAAAUUUCCUGACGAUAUUUUAUCAAUGUUAUGAGGUAGAAGCGUACAUAGUAUUUAUCGUUGUUUUUUUUUUUUUUUCUUUGGUACACAAUACUUGUAGGUAUUGUACUAUGAUUUUCAUACCCCGUACUCUACACAAACGUAUUAUAAUGAUGGGUUUUUUUUUUUUUUUUUUUUUUUUUUUUAAAUUUAAUUUUCAUUCACGGCGAUGACGUCCGUACCGAACACCGCAGGGGAAUGGUAUUUUUUUUAUUAGUAUUAUGAUUUUUUUUAUUUAUUUUUAUUUUUUUUCAAAAACGGCUCCUCGCGCACCCCUUCAACUGUUCGUUUACGUUUAUACCGGAGACACGUCGGAGUGGCACCAUUACGGAUAUCAAAAUAAUAUCAAUGAUAACAAUGAUAUUAUAUCGUCAUCAUCAUAAGGACCGUCCGCGCGGUGUCGAGUACGUAUUAUUGUCGCACACUAAACGGAGAAAAAGCGCCGGGAAACCGUCCUGUAACCCCCGUUUCGGAAAUGUCGUUUCUUUUAUUUCCGCCAAACGGCUCCUUGACGUUUGUCUCUUUCUCAAGAGAGAGAGAGAGAGAGAGAGAGAGAAAGAAAAAAAACGACGGUUUUUUUUUUUUAUAUGUUAUCGUAACCUACGCGAUUAUCGCGAUUAUAUUAAUACCGCGUACGGUCGUUAUUAGAAAAAAUUGAAAUGACGCGAGAAAGGGGAACCAUUAUGUUAUUAGUUUCUAUGUAAUAUUAUUGUAUACGCUUAAUUUAUAUCGUAAUAAUAUAAAACUGACGAUAAUUAUUAUAUUAUAUUAUGCAGUAAUAACGCUGAAGGCAUAAUGCAAGCAAAUAUAGUGCGAUUUAAUCACCGAAAUAUUACGAAGAGUGAACACUAUUAUUUAGUAUAGUACGUGUAUUUAUUAUUAUAAUAAAGUCGCUACGAGGAGAGAAAAAUUAACGAAUAGUUUAAUAAUAUUUAAUUUUUUAAAUUACAUUACUUAUACAAGUAUUAUUAUCGAUCCGAAGUCGAUGUGUCGAUGAUGUCGCGUCGGGCCCGCGUCCGGAACGAGGAAAUCAUUUGAGAGGGGGCGAAAAAACCGAUUUUAGUUCGACGGUGUGGUUGGUUAUUGUAAUGUCGACGACGGUUUUUCGAGGCGUAAUACAUAAUUAUUAUAGUAUUAUAUUAUCUGGGAAAUAUUUCGUUGGACCGGACGCGAACUCUAAAAAAAAAAAAAAAACAUCCUGACUUUCGAAAAGAGAGAAAAACACCCGACAGAUUUGAUUUUGUUUUUACCGGACUUUUUAGACGGCACGCGAAUUGUUAUAUCGUAGGAACGAGAGCGCGCGGAAACUGUAGAUCGGACAUUCGGACGUCGCAUGUUGUCAUUUUAAAAUUAUUUUCGAUAGUUUUGCGGAUUCGAAUCUGACAGGACGCGGUGUUUACGGUUAGCCGAUUGCGGUUUUUGGCCGAUUCCGGGCCUCGGUAUAUUAAAAUAUUAUAAUAGAGCGACAAGGCGACGUGCGGCAGGGAUGACGGAAAUUAUAUCUGGCUCGGUUUGAGAAAUAAUAGCGAGGAAAACGUCGAUUGGUCGAACAAGAUGGUCGGCCUUAUUUAAACGCGGCUUUUAAAUUUCCGGGUCGGACGCGUCCUGCUACGCCGCGACGGUAGAAGAUUUCGCGAAUUUAACAUUCACCGUGUUUAUAUGCAGAACUGAGAUCGAGAUUUUUCGGACAACAAUUACGAUUCGUAGUAAAAUCGCGAAAUUCUAUACACCAAUGCGAAUUUCAAAAAACCGAAUCCAUAAAUGACGAUUCGCGUUCGACGAAUAAAACUUUUCCCCGUGUAAAAUAUUCAUGGUGGUUGUAUUUGUAAGCCGGAUGGGGAGUAGGGUGACAUAAACCCUAACCUCCUUCCCGCGCUGCGCACGCCACUGUACCUAUAUAACGUACACGCGUCCCCUUCCUUUGAAAACGCCCGGACACGCCACUAACUCAGAUUACGACUCGGGGAAUCGCGUGAAUAUACAUACUCUGUUAUUAUAUGCCACUACCCGAAAAAACGUGCGCGUUAUCGAAUUUCCCAUCGAAAUCCAACUCCGUAAACGCAGAGGUUCAUUGCUAGUUAUAAUAUACCUAUAUAAUAUGUAUAAAUAUACACUAUUGAUUUGCUGUACGAAAAAACCGAUCGGAGACGAACAAUAUUGAUUCGUGCAAGUUCAACAGAAACGCACGCGAAUUGUAUCGCGCGGUUAGUUUUAUUACACGCCGAUGUUAUAAUGAAAGUACAGCAGACAAUUGUUGUGUGAUGGGUUUCACGACCGGAAACGGACAAAAGAAAAAAAAAACAGUUUGUUUAUCGGCUGUAUUGUAUUUUUAAAUAUUUAAUUAUGUAAUAAUAAUAUAAACAUAAAACAUCGUAUAAUAUUAUUAAUUAUUUACUCGAACGAGGCUGUAGGGGGGACGAUGGACGUUGGCAGUAGGGGUGGGGGGGGAGAGGGCGGGGAAAAUCCGAUGGCGAAAAAAAACAAAAAAAUAAACACUUAAUAAUUAUAAUAAUAAUAAUAAUGAUAAAAGGGGGGGCAAGAAGAAGAAAAAAAAAAAGACGAAAUAAUAAUAAUAUUAAAAAAUGUUAAAAAUUAAACUAUUGACGAUAAUUUUAUAAUAAUAUUAUUGAUUUAAAACCGUAAUAACAAUAAUAAUAAUAAUAUUUUAACAACAAUUAUAUUUAAUUAAAUAUUUUGAUAACAAAUGAAAAAAAAAGAGAAAAAAUAAAACGAAAA